CCUGACAGAAUUCGAUGACACUGCCAGUGGCUCGGAUCUGCGUAAUACCUUAAAGGCGGCCAGGAGAGGGAAAGGUUGCAGAACGCGUGGAAGUUUUGUGCCACGUCAAACAUAUAUCCACCGUGCUGCUACAAGGAACGGGAGCAACUCGCCAGCCACCAUGCGUACGAUCGUGGCGCUUGCCUUGAGCGCCACUUUGCUGUUUUUGAUGGCAGAGUCGACUCCGAUCCUGACGCAGGAGCAAGCCAACCAGAUUCUGCGCAGCAAGCGCAGCCCCCCGGACCACGGCUACCCCAACCCCAAGGCUGGGCACGCCGAUGAGCCGAUGCGGGAGUACCUGAUGCACCUGCAGGUGCUGGAGGCGCGGGUGGAGGAGCGUAACCUGGAGCACUGGCUCAACCCGCACUGCCUGCCGCACUGCAACCGCAACUACGUACACCCGGUGUAGACGGACGCCCGGCACGCGCCACUCCCGUGCCAAGGAGAAGGGAGGGGGGGGGGGCUCACUGUGCCAAGACCGAUAUCUGUCGACGGAAGACGUAAGGAGAAGAAUAAGUCCCCCGCGCGCGGUAAAUAACCGCGCGCGAACGCCUCGACUUUGUGAUCGCUUAACUCGAGCUCACGCUGGGCGAGAGGCGUUCACAUGGGGCGAGGCCAGUUAAUUUUUUGUCAUUAUUCAGCGCAUAAUGCAAUGCACACAAAUAUUAAUUGCAUUUUUUCCCAGGGUUUCUCAAACUCCAGUCCUUGCGAGUUUACCAAUUCACCAAUUUGCUCCUCCCAUUCAAAUACAUUUGUACUCGGUUCACCCUGCACGCGCCCGAUGAUUGCUUAACACGUCCCACGUGCCGCGCUGUGCAAAUUAACGCUGGCUGGGUCACGUGGAACACGUGCACACAGACACAUGCAUGAAACACGUGUACACACACGUAUACACGUACACUGAGAUUGCAAUCUUGAUUUGAAUCGGCUCUUAACGCAGACAGCGUUACGUGGAACGUGUUUAACAAUCAUAUGGCUUGUGCAGCGUGGAACGAGUUAACGUGUAUAUGAACGGGAGGAGUAAAUUGGUAAACAUGACGACUGGAGUUUGGGAAACGCUGCAUUAUUCACUGCAUAAUUACAUACUUUUAUCACGUAUAAAGCAAUGUACACACUAUACAUUUAUAAUAUACAGGGUGAUCCAUUAAAGUUAACUUAAUUCUGAACGUGUUUGUAAGCAAAUAAGACUGGCUACGUCAGACAAGGUGCAUCAGCAGAGUGCUUAAAAAUGUAAUGAGUCGAUUGUGAUUGGUGGGAGAACGGUGUAGAGGCUCUGAAUAACAAUGCAGUUUUAUCUGUCAUUUAUCCCUGUUACCCUUCAUAGUAGUGGUUGUCAACGUAUUGGGAAGGCCUUUAUCCAGCAGUGGAUCGAUCAUGGCUGCUGUUGAUUAUUAUUUUCAAAGGAUAUCUAUACAUUGGAUCUCCCUGUAUAUUUACAUAUUUUUUUAUGGCUCAAAUAUGUACUAUAACCCUAAUGUUUAUCUAACAUAGUCUUUUUUGUAUCUCGUGUUACAGCAGAAUAUGUUGUGGAAAAUGUAUCAUUCUUUUAAAAUACAUUCAUAACAAUUGUCGCA